rnacentral:rRNA from 1 species
CUCUGGUAUUCCGGAGAGCAUGCCUGUUUGAGUGUCAU